AGAGAUGUGGAUGACGCAUAUCAAUAAGCGGAGGAAAAGAAACUAACAAGGAUUCCCUUAGUAACGGCGAGUGAAGCGGGAAGAGCUCAAAUUUGAAAUCUUCAAGGUUCUACCUUGACGAAUUGUAGUUUAUAGAAGUGUUUUCUGUUAGUAGAGUGGCAAAAGUUCCUUGGAAUAGGACAUCAUAGAGGGUGAGAAUCCCGUAUUUGGUCAUUCUUUCUAGCUUUGUGAUACACUUUCAACGAGUCGGAUUGUUUGGGAAUGCAGUCCAAAAUGGGUGGUAAAUUUCAUCUAAAGCUAAAUAUUGGCGAGAGACCGAUAGCGAACAAGUACCGUGAGGGAAAGAUGAAAAGAACUUUGAAAAGAGAGUUAAACAGUACGUGAAAUUGUCAAAAGGGAAGCGUUUGACACCAGUGUUGUUUUUCCGAAAAUCAAUUACGAAUGUUUUAUUUUUGAGAAGUUAUGACUUCAUCGGCUUGCUUCUCUCUUUAUGAAACUUUCUUAAUGCACUUUUCGGUUAACAAGUCAACAUCAAUUUCUUUUGUUGUAAAAGGGUAAUGAGGAAGGUGGCUUUACUUUCGGAGUAAAGUGUUUAUAGCCUUGUACCUCUGCAAUCGGAGAGAUUGAGGUCUGCAGCGUAGAUCCUUCGGGGUUAGAUACAUUUGUGCUAAGUUAUAGCUUUUCAUAGACAACUUGUUGACUAUGUUAAGUCUUGUACUUACUCGCAUGAUGCUAUUUUACCUACGCUUAGGAUGUUGAAGUCAUCGUAUCGCGC
rnacentral:rRNA from 1 species